CCUUCCGUCUCCACAAUUCCAUGUUGAUCAUGGUUACAGGCAGAUGCAGGGAUGCUAGUUCAAAGUCCUUCACACUGCGUCUCUCAACUGUGUGCGCUCAGGCUGUCAGGCCACUGCAAGUUCCUGGGUCACGGUCAGUAGAAUCCUAGUCCUCCAAGUCUAUUUUCACCUAUGCCUCCAUGACAGUCAUGGCUCAGACAGUCACCAUUUCCCUAGAUCAUGAACUAGCCUCUGUAGAAACUACAAUGUGAUGAACCAGACUCCAUUCACAGAAGAGAGCAGGCCCAGGAGCACCGUCAACAACCGUGCUGGGAAGGAAAUACAAGCAGCUGUUUACAAGCUUCUUAAGAACUUGCAUGUCAGGAGCAUCACAAACAGAACCACGGUUGAAAUAAGCCUGUCCAAGGCAACUGUAGUUGGUGAUGCUAGAUUCCACCUGUGGUCAUCUGAUCUCAGACUAGUCAGUCUUCUAACUUUGAAAACGGAAACGUGAAAGGCAAGAGGCGAAUGCUGGUGAUGGAAACGAUGGACUUUUUUUCUGCACUAUGCGUUACCUGUGCAGAUGUUGCUGAGGUGGGUCAAGCACCUCAACACAGUAGAAGCUGCUGAGGAAACUUAUAUUUUCAUGGAGAAAAUGGGUGUAAAGUCUGUGUGUUUACCAGGCACACCAACACCUUGCUGCAUGCAACUCUUGUUACAUUAGCUAUGACAUGUUAUAAAGUUUCAAUUAAAAGCAGUUCACCAGGGUAAAAGACGAA